rnacentral:tRNA from 1 species
CGGGGUGGAGCAGUGGCAGCUCACGUGGCUCAUAACCACGAGGUCGUAGGUUCGAAUCCUACCCCCG